GGGGCAGUGUGAGAUGACGGGACCAGAGCACGUUCCUGGCUGCAGAGGCCACAAGUCACGCUGUCUCUGAGAGUGGAAUGUCACCAUCGCCCAGGUGGGGAUUUUUGUGUGUUUUGUUCACUGCUGUACACCCAGCCCCCAGCACAGCGCCUGUCCAGGACAAGUGCCCAGUAAACACUUGGGAAGCAAUGCAAGCGUGCGUGCAUGGAUAAGUAUUUCUUUGGCAGAUGAGGGGGCUAAGGUUCAGAGAAGGCCCUGGGGGUCUCAGACUCAUAGCCCAGUGCUCUUUCUGCUGACACGCCCUGGUCUCUGGGGCAGUUUGUUGCCUGUUCAGCAACAAAGAGGGUGUGCCUCGUUAGGGGUCCUGCGUGCGAAUCGCAGUCCCUGCGUGUCUUGGCUGGAGGUCACCACCCUCUCUGCUCCAGGGCCUGUAAUUACCACUUACCCUGGUCAAUGGGUCCGAGAGAUUACCCUUGUAGGCAGGGCUGUGGCCAGGGUGCUCACCUGGCCCCCAGCAGGUCCCAUGGGCACUGUCUGGCCGGGCUUCAUGGCUGACAUUCCAGGUACAUUUCUAGCCCUGGGCUGCCAUGGGCAGAGGGUGGGGAGAGGGUCGUGGGCUUCAGGCUGGACAAACCAGUCAGCCUUCCCAGCUGGGCCGCCUGACCACCCACUUCCUGUGGGGCUCCUUGAGGCCUGGAGGGUGGAGGGGGUCUCUGUUCAACCCCCACCCAUGCCCUCUUCCCUUCUCUCCCUCGGCAGGUCCUCCCAGCAGCUCCUGCAAACAGACCCCCGACCCAAGCCCUUCCUUCUGCCUCCACUGCCACCACUGCUGCUCAUCUCUGCUGGCACAGAAGUCUCUUCCCUGGUCUUCCAGAAAUCCCCUCUCCACACUCAGCCAGAGGGAGCUAUUAAAACUGUGGGCCAGCCCACAUCAGUCCACAGCAAAGUCCUCUCUAAGGGAUCUCUGUUGCUUGGAGAAUAAACCCUCGGAUUCCUUCCUUGGCU
ensembl:lncRNA PELATON plaque enriched lncRNA in atherosclerotic and inflammatory bowel macrophage regulation